rnacentral:rRNA from 1 species
UCGCUGAUGAGUGGCGGACGGGUGAGUAAUGUCUGGGAAACUGCCUGAUGGAGGGGGAUAACUACUGGAAACGGUAGCUAAUACCGCAUAACGUCGCAAGACCAAAGAGGGGGACCCUCGGGCCUCUUGCCAUCGGAUGUGCCCAGAUGGGAUUAGCUUGUUGGUGGGGUAACGGCUCACCAAGGCGACGAUCCCUAGCUGGUCUGAGAGGAUGACCAGCCACACUGGAACUGAGACACGGUCCAGACUCCUACGGGAGGCAGCAGUGGGGAAUAUUGCACAAUGGGCGCAAGCCUGAUGCAGCCAUGCCGCGUGUAUGAAGAAGGCCUUCGGGUUGUAAGGUACUUUCAGCGGGGAGGAAGGGAGUAAAGUUAAUACCUUUGCUCAUUGACGUUACCCGCAGAAGAAGCACCGGCUAACUCCGUGCCAGCAGCCGCGGUAAUACGGAGGGUGCAAGCGUUAAUCGGAAUUACUGGGCGUAAAGCGCACGCAGGCGGUUUGUUAAGUCAGAUGUGAAAUCCCCGGGCUCAACCUGGGAACUGCAUCUGAUACUGGCAAGCUUGAGUCUCGUAGAGGGGGGUAGAAUUCCAGGUGUAGCGGUGAAAUGCGUAGAGAUCUGGAGGAAUACCGGUGGCGAA